rnacentral:tRNA from 1 species
ACUAUUUUGGCAGACAAGUGCAAUGGAUUUAGAAUCUUUAAAUAUAGAAUAUAUAUAUCUAUAAGUAGUA